ensembl:lncRNA
ACAAACACUGGGGUUGAGACUAAAGAGCUGAUCCAAAAUGAUGUGGCUGAGCACCAACUGGACAUACCUGUGACUGAAUCUAUUUUUAGUGACCCAAAAAUUGAGGAUAAUGAUAUUUCGCUUAAGGAGGACACUAAGACCAACUCUGCAUGCUUCCAGAAGAUUACAGUUGGCCAACAAACACCGGAAGAGAGAAAUGAGAAGGACAAAGGGCAAAAUAGACUAGAAGAAGAGAGAGAGAAGAUGGAGGAGCGAGAAAAGAAAUGGGUGGAAGAGGAAAUAAGAAAGGGAGAGAGAGUUCAAGAAAACAGCCAGAAGCAUAAGACAAAACAGGAGCAAGAGACAAUGAAGUUAAAUAUGGGCAGAGAAAGAAUGGAAGAAGAGAUAAAGAUGAUGGAUGCAGAACAUGAUAAAGCCAAUAUGUCAAGGAGACUGGAAGAGAAGAGUAUGAGUGCUCUGGAAGAAGAAGAGGAGAAGAGGAGGAGGGUAAAGAAGGAAGUUGAGACAGAGAUGGUGAAAGGACAUCCCUCCCCUGCAGAGAAG